CUCGGAAAGAACUUUCUCUAAGAAGUCAAAGCUCUUAUUAAAAACACCAGGAAAAGAGGGAAUUGUCAUCACAGUGCAGGGAAUCUCAAGUGUCCUCCUGACAGAAAUAACUAGCUUACUGUUUGUAACAGGAAGAGGCUGAACAGCUCCACCUCACUCUGUCAAUUACCUCAUCCCAACCCUUAGUCUAGCCUACAGCAUCUCAGUUCUGGGAACGGGCUCAGGCAGAAAAUAUGUUAAAGAGUUCAGCCAGUGUCAGCUUUUUAAGAUAGGUAGCAAGGGAAAUACAAAUAUUUCCAAAGCGAGAAAAUCUUCCUGGCACCUUAUUCGUGCUCCAUGUCUCCUUCUUCAAAGUUCUCUGCAGACACCUGUGAACCAGGGCACAACCCACACAUAAUGGAGCACAGCGCUGUAGUGGGGGGGCAACAUGAGCCAUAUCCAAAUCGUGGGCAGAGAAAAGGGAGGCAGCGCAAGAGGAGAGUCAGUAUGUGGAGCUGCAAGGCGAGUCCUUGCUUGACUCAAAAACAGCUGUGCAAGACUUCAGCCAUGCAGCGCUUGUCCGCAGGUGUUGCUGAAGUGUCUCUGAAGAUCUGAAGAGAAAGGUCAGAGUUUCUACUUUGAUUGGAAAUUUCUUCUAUCUUAGAGGAGGAAGAGAGGAAAAAUCAGGGAUCUUUGGAAGUGGAGACCAGACAGGCAAAGAUUUGGAAAAAAAUGACAUGGUGGUUAGACACAUGAUUCAGGAAGAAUAUGUGGAACAACAAUUCUGAUGGGGAAGGUGUGUUCAGCAGAAACAUGAAUGAAAAUUCAUUUCACAUGCUGAAGCGAGGAAUCCUGCUCAGGAAAGGCCAGGAGUAGAACAGCAGAACGCUGGCAAGCAGGAACCAACGUGUUCAAGAAGCACACAGGGAGGAAGCUGACGCAGCUCUUUGUUACCCUGAGAACACGAUGUUGCCCUGCAUGCAUCACUGAAGUGCCUUCAAAAGGUGAAAUGAGGGGCAAGUGUUUUCCACUUUGUUACUUCACAAAACACAUGGAAAAGUCAGAGAGUCCUGUUCAGCCAAAGACAUGGGCCUUGGCGAUAUGAUUCUUGUGUUUCCAUACACAUUCCCUGCUUUGCUGUUGCAGCUACUGGAAUUAGCAUGCAGCAAUCGUGAGGUGUGUUUAUCCCACAGGCCAGGCUAACGGAGCUAAUUUUAAUGUAGCUGUUGGCUACCAAGAGCCUGGGAGCCACAGGAGUAUGAGUGUCUGGGCCAGCUCUGUACUAACUCAGCUAGCCUCAGUCAAAGAUAACCUUAAUACCUCUGGGCUGCUGCUCAUGCAGAAGCUAAGAUAAAGCUAUGUGUCCUCUAUGCUUUUAUGUCCCAGGCAGAUACCCAGCACGUACACACCCCAGCUCACCCACCUCUUAUUCCACAGAAAUAGUGGUGCACAGAAAUAGUGGUGCACCAACGGUCAUCACGAAACCCACACGUGUGCUCACAAGUAGUGUGUAAUGUUGAAUAAUAACAAUUUCAUCACUUAUUUUAAUAUCUGUAUUUCUUUAGCAGUUUACAUACAGGUCAGAAUGGGUCUUAUGUUUACCGUUCCUCAGCAUUAUAACCCCUUUUGUUAAAUAAGAAAACGCUCGUAUUUAAAACAAUAUAACCCAAUAGAAAACAUACUCAUCCCAUUUGGACAGCAAUACUGAGUUGUAAAAACUUGCAAAGAAUAAACAGUAUGAGACACCUAAUAAAAGUGCUAAUCAGAUAACAUCUAAAAUGUAAGUAAAAGAAGAAAAUUAAAAGAAUGUGGUCUUAUAACAAAAAAUCUAUUUUUAAUACACUGAAAUUCUGAUAUUUAUCUGUAUCUAUGAAAUACAGAUCUCUACGCUUUUCAGCUCUAAUUUUGUUAUUUUUGACUCUCUUAACAUAAGCAGCUAACUAAGGUUUAUGAUUGAUAGAGCUAUUACUAAUAGAAAAGUAAUUUGGUGAAGGAGUUAAGGUACCUUUAUGAAAUCCUGUUUAUUUAGAAAAUACGUAUGAAAAGUUGUGCUUCAAUUAGCAUAGCAGGAAUCGAACAGAAAGGGGUCAUAUGUUUCUUUCAGUACUCAUAAGUAAACUUUCCAGCUUAUUUUCUGCUCAUAAACUCUGUAUCUAAUCUUAGAUUUUCUCCCAGUCAGCUGUAAGCAAUUCCCUGCCUGCCUCUGGGUAUUUCUUUGAUGCCUUUAUUAUGCUUCCUCUCAGGCAGACAGAGAGUUCACCAAGCAACACGCAGUCCCCUUCCUUUGCAGUAAGACCCAAAGAAACAGACCUGGCCACGUAGGUCCGAUCCGUCAGCUGCCCUGGGUGGGGCCUCUGCUUUUAACACAGUUCUGAUUAUUUCAGCUCUAUAUUCCAUAAAGGAACAGAAGUGGUUUUACAUUUUUCCUGCAUAAAAGGCUUCUUUUCUAUCUACCUGCUUCCCCUGUAUCACACAGAAAUGUGGUAACUGUACUCUCCAUUUACUUUACUUUUCUAAAAGAAAAAAUGUUUACAUAUCAAAUGGGGAAGGGAAUAGAGAGAAUAUACCUACUUGUCUGGCAUAAAUUUUAAUCUUGAAAUUUUGGCAUAGAAUGGAUUUUAAGGGUAUGUUUGGCAUUGGACUACUGUCAUCUUGAACUUGCUAUUUAUGAAAAUUAAACAGGAAAGCUUUAAAAGGUUCAAUUUAGUCUUUUAUUUAAAGAUAAACUAUUAUUCAUUAUAUUGACUUAGCAGUAUGCAUAAUUGUCUCCUCAAGUUUAGAAAGGACAGAGGGACGUCUGACAAGCUGGAAAAGUAAGAAAAAAGAAUAUUGUACCAUGCCAGCAAAAACAAAAUAUGUUUUCAUUUUUAUAAUAAAUAUAUAAUAAAUCCCAAAUGUGCAAUUAAGACUGCAGUCAUCACUAGAGGUCAGUCAUAUUUACUGAUUUCUCUUCCUUGGAUGAAUGUUUCCAUAGUAUUUUGAUGUCAUUCAUAUUGCACAAUAGUCAUAAAACUUAAUCCCUUUCACCUCUGCCUCUUUUCUUAUACCUUCUUUCCCUGUAUCACUCACUUUUUUUCCACCUCUGACAUUCUUUCCCUCUCUUUUCUUUUUGCUGCCUCCAUAUUAUUCUGCUCUCUCAUAUACGUACUCCUUGCUACCGAUGACAUCCAUGCUGCUUAGCAGCUGUUAAAAACUGCAUAGUCUAAAUACCCACAGGCAAAUUAAGGUGUUUGAAGGAAACCGAGCUUCCCAACGUACUGCCUUGUGGUGUCACCUCACAGUAGCAUUAGGAAUUGAUGGCCAAGCGUGUGGGCAGCCCUGAGCACACCAGAGGCUCCUCACCACGGCCCUGUCCAUCCCUGUCUGCCUCGCAGCCUUCCUGGUUGCCGGGACUCUAGAAACGCUUCAUAGGCAGUUACAUCUGCUGCCGAGGAGCCACGCUGGUACGCCUUCUAAACACAGAUGUGUUACGGGGAGAAAUGCGUAGAAUUGUACAGACUGGAAUGAGUUAAUAAACUGAAUACUAUGUUACUAGAUUACUGAAAUUCUUAAUGCAUGUAUGUAGUGCCUUGCAAAUGAAAAGCUUUUCCUAAGUGAUGAAAAUUUAUUCUAGUGAAUUUUUAAUAUAAUAAAACCCUAGUCCUGUCCUACUGUACUCAUUGUUAUUUAAUCAAUUUAAAUGGAAUCAGGAUAUGAUUAUAAAGACUAAAAUUAUUCUAAACAGAACUAACUUGAACUCUCUGUCUUAUUAAACAGAAAGAAAUAUUAUACUUCGAUAAAUGUACAUAUAGCUUACAUAAGCCUUGCAUAGCCUCACUUGAACACAUAUUUAAUAAUACGGCUAAAGUUAUAGCUUAAAUAGCGUUUUUACUCCUAUGAAGUUUCAGAAAUUUUUGCUUGGUCCCCAGCUUGAACAUUUUCACAGCUAUUUCUGAACAGUUUCAGUUUAUUGCUGUGUCUUGCCU